rnacentral:snRNA from 1 species
GAGUGUGAGGGCAAUCUGGCUGCAACAUCUGAUUGAUCCCCAGGGUUGAUUUGACCGAUCUGGCUGGCUAGGUGGGUGUCCUGUCCUCCCUUACCACUCCAUGUGCAUCCCUCCCAAAGCUGUGCACUGCUUCAAAGAGGACAAACCCUAGGUCAAGGGUAUAUAAGUAGCUGCGCUCCCCUGUUAGAACCUUUAAACUCUCAAUUUCCAAAAAUCAAGCAAAGAUGGAGACACUGUCAUAGACCAGAGGAAACUCACUAAAUAUGAUGACUAAAUGCACUGUGGUAUAGUAAAUU